UGGACGUGGGUGUGCCUCCAGUUCAGGCCCCCGAGUGGCGGACGGGCGCGUAGCUCUGAGCAGAGACGUACAGGCCCCUUCCACGACGUCCCACACGGAGCUGGUCCCGGCCGCGGCUGUGAGGACCCGGCCUGCAUAUUCCUACAUCUCCCAGAGUCCUUUGGGCCGUGACUGGGCAGAACGACCAUGCAGGACACAAAC